rnacentral:rRNA from 1 species
AUGCACGCUGGCGGCGUGCCUAACACAUGCAAGUCGCACGGAGUCCAGCCUUAGAGACCUUCGGGUCAAAGAGGGGAAGACUGAGUGGCGGACGGGUGAGUAACACGUGGGCAACCUGGCUCAUAGAGGGGGAUAACAGAGAGAAAUUUCUGCUAAUACCGCAUAAGCACACACUGCCGCAUGGCAGAGUGUGAAAAGAGAAUCGCUAUGAGAUGGACCCGCGUCUGAUUAGCCAGUUGGCAGGGUAAGAGCCUACCAAAGCGACGAUCAGUAGCCGAUUUGAGAGGAUGAACGGCCACAUUGGGACUGAGACACGGCCCAAACUCCUACGGGAGGCAGCAGUGGGGGAUAUUGCACAAUGGGGGGAACCCUGAUGCAGCGACGCCGCGUGAGUGAAGAAGUAUUUCGGUAUGUAAAGCUCUAUCAGCAGGGAAGAUAAUGACAGUACCUGAAGAAGAAGCCCCGGCUAACUACGUG